UGUCUGGGAAACUGCCUGAUGGAGGGGGAUAACUACUGGAAACGGUGGCUAAUACCGCAUAAUGUCGCAAGACCAAAGAGGGGGACCUUCGGGCCUCUUGCCAUCAGAUGUGCCCAGAUGGGAUUAGCUUGUUGGUGAGGUAACGGCUCACCAAGGCGACGAUCCCUAGCUGGUCUGAGAGGAUGACCAGCCACACUGGAACUGAGACACGGUCCAGACUCCUACGGGAGGCAGCAGUGGGGAAUAUUGCACAAUGGGCGCAAGCCUGAUGCAGCCAUGCCGCGUGUAUGAAGAAGGCCUUCGGGUUGUAAAGUACUUUCAGCGGGGAGGAAGGUGUUGUGGUUAAUAACCGCAGCAAUUGACGUUACCCGCAGAAGAAGCACCGGCUAACUCCGUGCCAGCAGCCGCGGUAAUACGGAGGGUGCAAGCGUUAAUCGGAAUUACUGGGCGUAAAGCGCACGCAGGCGGUCUGUCAAGUCGGAUGUGAAAUCCCCGGGCUCAACCUGGGAACUGCAUUCGAAACUGGCAGGCUUGAGUCUUGUAGAGGGGGGUAGAAUUCCAGGUGUAGCGGUGAAAUGCGUAGAGAUCUGGAGGAAUACCGGUGGCGAAGGCGGCCCCCUGGACAAAGACUGACGCUCAGGUGCGAAAGCGUGGGGAGCAAACAGGAUUAGAUACCCUGGUAGUCCACGCCGUAAACGAUGUCUACUUGGAGGUUGUGCCCUUGAGGCGUGGCUUCCGGAGCUAACGCGUUAAGUAGACCGCCUGGGGAGUACGGCCGCAAGGUUAAAACUCAAAUGAAUUGACGGGGGCCCGCACAAGCGGUGGAGCAUGUGGUUUAAUUCGAUGCAACGCGAAGAACCUUACCUGGUCUUGACAUCCACGGAAGUUUUCAGAGAUGAGAAUGUGCCUUCGGGAACCGUGAGACAGGUGCUGCAUGGCUGUCGUCAGCUCGUGUUGUGAAAUGUUGGGUUAAGUCCCGCAACGAGCGCAACCCUUAUCCUUUGUUGCCAGCGGUCCGGCCGGGAACUCAAAGGAGACUGCCAGUGAUAAACUGGAGGAAGGUGGGGAUGACGUCAAGUCAUCAUGGCCCUUACGACCAGGGCUACACACGUGCUACAAUGGCGCAUACAAAGAGAAGCGACCUCGCGAGAGCAAGCGGACCUCAUAAAGUGCGUCGUAGUCCGGAUUGGAGUCUGCAACUCGACUCCAUGAAGUCGGAAUCGCUAGUAAUCGUGGAUCAGAAUGCCACGGUGAAUACGUUCCCGGGCCUUGUACACACCGCCCGUCACACCAUGGGAGUGGGUUGCAAAAGAAGUAGGUAGCUUAACCUUCGGGAGGGCGCUUACCACUUUGUGAUUCAUGACUGGGGUGAAGUCGUAACAAGGUAACCGUAGGGGAACCUGC
rnacentral:rRNA from 1 species